CCUACGGGUGUCAGCAGUGAGGAAUAUUGGUCAAUGGACGAGAGUCUGAACCAGCCAAGUAGCGUGAAGGAUGACUGCCCUAUGGGUUGUAAACUUCUUUUAUAAAGGAAUAAAAUGAGGCACGUGUGCCUUUUUGUAUGUACUUUAUGAAUAAGGAUCGGCUAAGUCCGUGCCAGCAGCCGCGGUAAUACGGAGGAUCCGAGCGUUAUCCGGAUUUAUUGGGUUUAAAGGGAGCGUAGAUGGGUUGUUAAGUCAGUUGUGAAAGUUUGCGGCUCAACCGUGAAAUUGCAAUUGAUACUGGCAGUCUUGAGUGCAGUGGAGGUAGGCGGAAUUCGUGGUGUAGCGGUGAAAUGCUUAGAUAUCACGAAGAACCCCGAUUGCGAAGGCAGCUUACUAAACUGUGACUGACGUUGAAGCUCGAAGGUGUGGGUAUCGAACAGGAUUAGAUACCCUGGUAGUC
rnacentral:rRNA from 1 species